rnacentral:rRNA from 1 species
GACGAACGCUGGCGGCGUGCUUAACACAUGCAAGUCGAACGGAAAGGCUCUCUUCGGAGAGUGCUCGAGUGGCGAACGGGUGAGUAACACGUGGGUAACCUACCUUUUACUGGGGGACAACCGAGGGAAACUUCGGCUAAUACCGCAUAAUGUGCAGCUUCAUAAGAAGUCGUACCAAAGAUAGCUUCGGCUUUCGGUAAAAGAUGGGCCCGCGGCAGAUUAGCUUGUUGGUGGGGUAACGGCCACCAAGGCUACGAUCUGUAGCUGGUCUGAGAGGACGAUCAGCCACACUGGAACUGAGACACGGUCCAGACUCCUACGGGAGGCAGCAGUGGGGAAUCUUGCGCAAUGGGCGAAAGCCUGACGCAGCAACGCCGCGUGAGGGAAGACGGCCUUA